rnacentral:lncRNA from 1 species
UUCUCAUUACUGCUUCAUGAAACAUAAACUAUAAAGAUAAAGACAUAAAUAAAAACAAAGAGACACAACAUAAGAUACAGAAGGGUAUUACAGAGCUUUUAAUUGCUCUAAGCCACUACCCUACUGAAAUUAGACCUACUGACCCUAAAAUAAGAACAACAAAGGCUUAAACGAAAGACUCAAACUUCUGACCAGACUAUACAAGUUACUAGUAUAUUCUAAAUCAACCCAAAACAGCAACCUAAGCUAGAUCUACUUUUCUGCUAUAACGGAAGGUACAAUAAAGGAACUUAAACAAGGAAAUUUGACAAAUUGCUUUGCCAACUCGUCCUUCCCCUUGAAAAAAUAAGGGAAGUUUUCGCGAGCCGGGAGCAAAACACAAACUUCUUAUUCAAAGACUUAAACCCCCAUCACCAUCAACACCACCAUCACUUUACCAUCCCAGGAUCAUCACCAUAACUGCAACAAACAAAGCUCAAGUUUUAUUGUUCAACUACUCCCACCGUUCAU